rnacentral:rRNA from 1 species
GUGGGGAAUCUUAGACAAUGGGCGCAAGCCUGAUCUAGCCAUGCCGCGUGAGCGAUGAAGGCCUUAGGGUUGUAAAGCUCUUUCAGGGGGGAAGAUAAUGACGGUACCCCCAGAAGAAGCCCCGGCUAACUCCGUGCCAGCAGCCGCGGUAAUACGGAGGGGGCUAGCGUUGUUCGGAAUUACUGGGCGUAAAGCGCACGUAGGCGGACCAGAAAGUCAGGGGUGAAAUCCCGGGGCUCAACCCCGGAACUGCCUUUGAAACUCCUGGUCUUGAGGUCGAGAGAGGUGAGUGGAAUUCCGAGUGUAGAGGUGAAAUUCGUAGAUAUUCGGAGGAACACCAGUGGCGAAGGCGGCUCACUGGCUCGAUACUGACGCUGAGGUGCGAAAGCGUGGGGAGCAAACAGGAUUAGAUACCCGGGUAGUCC